CCUACGUGAGGCAGCAGUGAGGAAUAUUGGUCAAUGGUCGGGAGACUGAACCAGCCAAGCCGCGUGAGGGAGGAAGGUACAGAGUAUCGUAAACCUCUUUUGUCAGGGAACAAAGACUUGGACGCGUCCCCGGAUGAGUGUACCCGAAGAAAAAGCAUCGGCUAACUCCGUGCCAGCAGCCGCGGUAAUACGGAGGCUGCGAGCGUUAUCCGGAUUUCUUGGGUUUAAAGGGUGCGCAGGCGGUAUGUUAAGUCAGCGGUCAAAGCGCGGGGCUCAACCCCGACCCGCCGUUGAAACUGGCAGUCUCGAGUGGGAGAGAAGUAUGCGGAAUGCGGGGUGUAGCGGUGAAAUGCAUAGAUAUCGCGCAGAACUCCGAUUGCGAAGGCAGCAUGCCGGCUCCACACUGACGCUGAGGCACGAAAGCGUGGGUAUCGAACAGGAUUAGAUACCCGUGUAGUC
rnacentral:rRNA from 1 species